ensembl:snRNA U1 U1 spliceosomal RNA
AUAGUUAGACAGAGGGGAGAUACCAUGAUCACGGAGGUGGUUUUCCCAGGGCGAGGCUUAUCCAUUGCUCUCCGGGUGUGCUGACCCCUACAACUUCCCCAAAUGUGGGAGACUUGGCUGCAUAAUCUGUGGUAGUGGGGGCUGCAGCAUUCAUGCUCUCCCCUG